ACGCUCGACACCUACGGGAGGCAGCAGUGGGGAAUAUUGGGCAAUGGAGGGCAACUCUGACCCAGCAACGCCGCGUGAGUGAUGAAGGUCUUCGGAUUGUAAAACUCUUUAAGUAGGGACGAAGAAAGUGACGGUACCUACAGAAUAAGCCUCGGCUAACUACGUGCCUGCAGCCGCGGUAAUCUGAGCGGGCUGGCAAGGC
rnacentral:rRNA from 1 species